AAACAUUCCAGGGAGGGGAGAAAGCUUUCAUAAGGUUACGGUAAACUUUCGAUCUCCGUAACUUCUCCGUCCGAGCUCCAAUCGCCGCACCGUUUGCGGCCACGCGUUCACCGCGUCGAGCUCUACGUUUCUACCGGAACAAUUUCACUGGAUCCAAUUAGCUUGAGGAAAACGUUUACUCUUGCUUAUGUGAAGCUUGGGUAAGGUUGUAAAUAAAUAAUUAAAGCUUGAAAUUGUGAAUACUGGAACUUGGAGGAAGCGGAUUAGUUGAAGUUUUGAGGGCUGUGUUCUUUUAGGAAAAUUGUCUUGGAAUAAUACUUGGG